rnacentral:rRNA from 1 species
GGAAUAUUGGGCAAUGGGCGCAAGCCUGACCCAGCAACGCCGCGUGAGGGAAGAAGGCUUUCGGGUUGUAAACCUCUGUCCUUGGUGACGAAGAAGUGACGGUAGCCAAGGAGGAAGCCCCGGCUAACUACGUGCCAGCAGCCGCGGUAAUACGUAGGGGGCGAGCGUUGUCCGGAAUUACUGGGCGUAAAGGGUGCGUAGGUGGUCUACUAAGUUGGAUGUGAAAUCCCCGGGCUUAACUUGGGGUCUGCAUCCAAUACUGGCGGACUAGAGUGCAGGAGAGGGAAGCGGAAUUCCUAGUGUAGCGGUGAAAUGCGUAGAUAUUAGGAGGAACACCAGUGGCGAAGGCGGCUUUCUGGACUGUAACUGACACUGAGGCACGAAAGCGUGGGGAGCAAACA